rnacentral:rRNA from 1 species
GACGAACGCUGGCGGCGUGCUUAACACAUGCAAGUCGAACGGAAAGGCCCUGCUUUUGUGGGGUGCUCGAGUGGCGAACGGGUGCGUAACACGUGAGUAACCUGCCCUUGACUUUGGGAUAACUUCAGGAAACUGGGGCUAAUACCGGAUAGGAGCUCCUGCUGCAUGGUGGGGGUUGGAAAGUUUCGGCGGUUGGGGAUGGACUCGCGGCUUAUCAGCUUGUUGGUGGGGUAGUGGCUUACCAAGGCUUUGACGGGUAGCCGGCCUGAGAGGGUGACCGGCCACAUUGGGACUGAGAGACGGCCCAGACGCCUAUGGGAGGCAGCAGUGGGGAAUAUUGCACAAUGGGCGGAAGCCUGAUGCAGCGACGCCGCGUGCGGGAUGACGGCCUUCGGGUUGUAAACCGCUUUCGCCUGUGACGAAGCGUGAGUGACGGUAAUGGGUAAAGAAGCACCGGCUAACUACGUG